rnacentral:rRNA from 1 species
UACGAGGGAGCUAGCGUUGUUCGGAAUUACUGGGCGUAAAGCGCACGUAGGCGGCUUUGUAAGUUAGAGGUGAAAGCCCGGGGCUCAACUCCGGAAUUGCCUUUAAGACUGCAUCGCUAGAAUUGUGGAGAGGUAAGUGGAAUUCCGAGUGUAGAGGUGAAAUUCGUAGAUAUUCGGAAGAACACCAGUGGCGAAGGCGACUUACUGGACACAUAUUGACGCUGAGGUGCGAAAAGCGUGGGGAGCAAACAGG